rnacentral:rRNA from 1 species
UACGAAGGGUGCAAGCGUUAAUCGGAAUUACUGGGCGUAAAGGGUGCGUAGGCGGUUGUUUAAGUCUGUCGUGAAAGCCCCGGGCUCAACCUGGGAAUGGCCAUGGAAACUGGCGAACUGGAGUGUGGCAGAGGGGGGUGGAAUUCCGCGUGUAGCAGUGAAAUGCGUAGAGAUGCGGAGGAACACCGAUGGCGAAGGCAGCCCCCUGGGCUAGCACUGACGCUCAGGCACGAAAGCGUGGGGAGCAAACAGG